UGUCAGCUUUGGGAGCUCCUUAUUUGGGAAGGAUCAUGUGAACAUGACCCGCAUAGCCUUCCACAUCCUCAUAAACAUGCAGUUCUGGGAGCGACAUUUCUUCUUUUCCUCGUCUAGCUUCCUUUAAAGCUCAGCAUAGACUUGAGCUAGGUCCAGUGGGGUAGUAGAGCUCAAGGGAGUACUUCACCUUGUUAGAAUUACCAAUUGGUG
rnacentral:lncRNA from 1 species